rnacentral:lncRNA from 1 species
UCCAAUAAAUGUCCUAUUUUUCCCUCCCUAGGGCAGAGUCCAAUUUUGUCCCACCGAACGUGGGGCUAGCCUUAUCCUCCAGUCUGUGAGGCUGUUGCAGAUCAAGGUCCCCUGUGAGGGCAAACACAGCUGCCCAUCUGAGACCAUCUACUGGAGUCACCGGCAGCCUUCCAGGUUCCAUGUAUACACAGCACUUCUAUUUUGUGGGUGUCACGUGGUUGGAGUGGCUACUCGUUUCCGGUCCGGCUUCCCUACUGCACUGAGAAAGGAAGGAGAUCUUGAAGAAGCGUGCUAAGAAGAGUGUGCCAAGGAGCCCUCCUUUGGCUGCGUGCCUUCCGGAAUGGAAUAACCCUACCUGCGGUGGUCAGUCGUGCUAAUAGGUUCAUUUUCAGCACAGGUGGAAACAUUUCAUCCCGUGGUACCUCGGUUUCUGGGGCAGUGCUGACUCAGCUGUUUAUUAUUUGAUCAGUUUUAUUAACACCCUGAAGCCAAAGUUUUAAUGGAGUGAGCACAAAACAAAACAAAGCAUAACAAAAACAAAACAACUCACCCCCUCACCCGCCACACACACACUCUUAAGCAAACGAACAAACGAAAAACCUGCCCAAUUACACAAAUGACCUUCCAUUGCUUUCCUUGGGUGAAAAUGUUCUCAAGUCUGUAUUUGCUAAAUUGUUAACACUUUGGCUAUUAACUGCCUGGAGUCAGGCAGGUACAGUCUAUUGACUGACCAAGGAACUGAUCUUCAUAAACCGUCCAAGAUUUGGCCACAUAGGAUAGAAAAUUCCAGUACAAACAUUCCUUCUUAUACAAACUUGUCCCUAGUCUAGAAGGACAAACUGCUAUCACACUGAAAAUCAGGAACUCUUUGUUGGUAAAAAAGAAUGCUAGACAGAGGCUUUGGUAUUUAAGCCUUGUAACAGGGCCAGUGGGAACAGUAUUGUACUGAGGGUUCUGAAUUCCACAGGCAAUUUGUUCAUGUACCCAACAUUUAUAUGUACUCAUCUUGGGAAUAUAAAGAUUUGUAAUAUGGGGUAUCUGUCCUCAAGAUAUUUCUAAGGCUAUCAGGGAGACUGAAACAUACAUAAUUACAGAAGAGGUGAACUCUCUUUCAUUUUUUGGUCAGGAUGAAAUAUAAAUGCACGCUAUAUGAAGCAGAGUAAUCUAUUGAGAAUCAGCUUGUGUUUGCUUUGCUGCUGUGGAUGCCUUAGGAGAAAAAUGAAAGGCAAUUUUUCCCCUCCCAGAAUGUUAGGCAGGCUUCCAUUCUGAUUCCUGGGAAGUCUUUACCUCCAGGA